rnacentral:lncRNA from 1 species
UAUCACUCUUGAUCAUAUUUUUACUUAAAAAACUAAAAUAAUAUUAUCCAUAUUUAUAUAAUAUAUAGUGCUACAAAUAACCUAAUUGUAUCUGGAAAUAAAUACUCAGAAAAAAAUGUAAGACUUCAAAUAAAAGUUUUCAAUGAAGAAAGGUGAAUUGCAAUACAUGAGCCAAAACUUAACUAUGUAAAUGCAGACCUCAAACAGGAAACCUUGAAGACUAGAAAGCCCUUCUGGUGAUAUGAUUUGAGGGAUAAGGAGGUUAAUUGAGGUCCAUGGGAGGCAAUUUUGAGUAGAAGGUCAACAACACACAAGGACUGCAGUUUGGUAAUGGGUGAGGGAAACAGGGAUGCAGUCAGAAGGUUGCCUUAGGCAGAGUUGAGAUUGAACCUCAUGUAGAAGGAUAAGAGGGUUAGAAAUGUAUGCAGAUGCCAAGUAAAUCAAUUCUGCAUAAAGUAGGGGGAUACUGAGGAAUGAACACAAAUAGGAAUGUAUCAGAAUAUAUUAAAGUAAGGGUAAAAUUACUGGAGAACAUGAUCUGUGGUAGAGGUAAACAAUGGGAAUGAGAUGGGGAAUAUGUCUUCAUAUGUACAAUGCACAGAAAUGACAUUUUGUAAGACCAAUACUGUAUUAUUUAUAGAACCUUUAUUCUAUUUUAAAAAUAUAGAUUUUUUAAAGAGUAAUAAAGGUCUUCAAGAACAAAAAUUAUAAUGUCUGCAAAUAAAAAUAAAGAAAUUGUUUUUCAAUGCCAUUGAAAGAUUGGAUGAGAUUAAGGAGGUCUUAAGAGAAAAAAUAAUUUUAUUUUGAGGGCUAGGAAAAAUAUCAUAUGCCAUGUAGGAGUUUUUGUUUGUCUGUGGUACUGGAAAUCAAACUGAGGGCCUCAUGUGUGGACAUACACUAUUACUGAGAUAUACCCCUAACCCUGCCAUGUAGUAGUUUUGUGAUAUCAAUAAAUGAAUAAACAAAAUGACAUAUAAAAUAUAUAAAAUUUAUUAAGUAGUUAGAAAUUAUUAAAAUUUUAAAGGAGUUAAAAUUAACAUACUUCAAUGAUGCAGCACAUCAAUGUUUAUAACAGAUCAAUUCACAAUAGCCUAGCUAUGGAAUCAAUCUAAAUGCCUAUCAACAGAUGAAUGGAAUAUUAUUCAGUCAUUAAGAAGAAUGACUUUAUGACAUUUGCUGGUAAAUGAAUGGAUGGAUUUGGAGACUAUCAUGUUACAUGAAGUAAGCUAAUCCCAAAAUCUAAAGUUCACAUAUACUCUCUAAUAGUAGAUGCUAAACCUAAAUAAGGGUGGGAGGGAAAAAAAG